GCCACGUGCGGCGCUCACCCCACUCAAGCUUCGCGUGGACAGCAACAAACGGAGAAUACACGCGGAGAGACGGAGCUCCACCAGGUUGAUAUCACCACGACACACACACAGCACACACAGCACACACACAGCACCUGCCCAGGGCGGAGGAGAGCGAUGAUCACCACCAACCCACAGCGCGAUCGCCACGACCCUACCCUGUCAUCAUCACGCGAUGCUGCACGGAUUGUGCGGUGUUAUCAAUGAACACGCUCCCUGACACCACUGCACGCGAGCAGUCGGCUGCUCAGUGAACGGAGCUUUUAACGCGGCACGGACCACAGCGAAUACUCGGGCUACUCAACUACCUCUGAAACUCAACUACCCCUGUUACUCAACUACCCGGGCUACUCAACUACCUCUGAAACUCAACUACCCCUGUUACUCAACUACCCGGGCUACUCAACUACCUCUGAAACUCAACUACCCCUGUUACUCAACUACCCGGGCUACUCAACUACCUCUGAGACUCAACUACCCCUAUUACUCAACUACCCGGGCUACUCAACUACCUCUGAGACUCAACUACCCUCUUACUCAACUACCCGGGCUACUCAACUACCUCUGAGACUCAACUACCCCUAUUACUCAACUACCCGGGCUACUCAACUACCUCUAAAACUCAACUACCCGGGCUACUCAACUACCUCUGAAACUCAGCUACCCCUGUUACUCAACUACCCGGGCUACUCAACUACCCGGGCUACUCAACUACAUCUGAAACUCAACUACCCCUAUUACUCAACUACCCCUAUUACUCAACUACCCGGGCUACUCAACUACCCCUGUUACUCAACUACCCGGGCUACUCAACUACCCGGGCUACUCAACUACCCGGGCUACUCAACUGCCUGAGUUACUCAGCAACCUGAGUUACUCAGCAACCUGGGCUACUCAACUACCCGGGCUACUCAACUACCUGAGUUACUCAGCAACCUGAGUUACUCAACUACCCGGGCUACUCAGCAACCUGAGUUACUCAGCAACCUGAGUAACUCAACUACCUGAGUUACUCAACUACCUGAGUUACUCAACUACCCGGGCUACUCAACUACCUGAGUUACUCAGCAACCUUGGCUACUCAACUACCUGAAUUACUCAGCAACCUGGGCUACUCAACUACCUGAGUUACUCAACUACCUGAGUUACUCAGCAACCUGGGCUACUCAACUACCUGAGUUACUCAACUACCUGAGUUACUCAGCAACCUGGGCUACUCAACUACCUGAGUUACUCAACUACCUGAGUUACUCAGCAACCUGAGUUACUCAACUACCUGAGUUACUCAACUACCUGAGUUACUCAGCAACCUGGGCUACUCAACUACCUGAGUUACUCAGCAACCUGGGCUACUCAACUACCUGGGCUAUUCAACUACCUGGGCUACUCAACUACCUGAGUUACUCAACUACCUGAGUUACUCAACUACCUGAGUUACUCAACUACCUGGGCUACUCAACUACCUGAGUUACUCAACUACCUGAGUUACUCAGCAACCUGGGCUACUCAACUACCUGAGUUACUCAACUACCUGAGUUACUCAGCAACCUGGGCUACUCAACUACCUGAGUUACUCAACUACCUGAGUUACUCAGCAACCUGGGCUACUCAACUACCUGAGUUACUCAACUACCUGAGUUACUUAGCAACCUGAGUUACUCAACUACCUGAGUUACUCAGCAACCUGGGCUACAGCUCCCAGAGUUUCGCACCCGUCGGAUUUGGACAGGCGAGAGUUGGACACCGGGGCUGCGAGUGCAGGAUGGGAGAAUUCUCGGACCGCAUGUACAAGCUGAUCUUUAUGGGCGACGCCAGUGUGGGCAAGACCAGCCUCAUGAUGCGACUCUGCCGCAACGAGUUCCGUGCCAACAUGAGCUCCACGCUGGGCGUGGACUCGCACGUGAAGACCGUGACUAUCAACGAGAAGCAGCUGACCCUACAGCUGUGGGACACCGCUGGCCAAGAAAGG